rnacentral:rRNA from 1 species
GACGAACGCUGGCGGCGUGCUUAACACAUGCAAGUCGAACGGAAAGGCCCUGCUUUUGUGGGGUGCUCGAGUGGCGAACGGGUGAGUAACACGUGAGUAACCUGCCCUUGACUUUGGGAUAACUCCAGGAAACUGGGGCUAAUACCGGAUAGGAGCUCCUGCUGCAUGGUGGGGGUUGGAAAGUUUCGGCGGUUGGGGAUGGACUCGCGGCUUAUCAGCUUGUUGGUGAGGUAGUGGCUUACCAAGGCUUUGACGGGUAGCCGGCCUGAGAGGGUGACCGGGCACAUUGGGACUGAGAUACGGCCCAGACUCCUACGGGAGGCAGCAGUGGGGAAUAUUGCACAAUGGGCGGAAGCCUGAUGCAGCAACGCCGCGUGCGGGAUGACGGCCUUCGGGUUGUAAACCGCUUUCGCCUGUGACGAAGCGUGAGUGACGGUAAUGGGUAAAGAAGCACCGGCUAACUACGUG